rnacentral:lncRNA from 11 species
CCUGGAUCUCUGUCUUUGGCAUUAUGUGCAUGGACUGCCCAUCCAUCGUGUAUAAGUCACCUUUCUAGGAAAUGCCAUAUAAUAUAAAAAUUUGGAUUUGCUAUGAUUAUUUCUGCCAAAGUAAUACGCUUGCAGGCAUGUUACUUGCUAGUGAAUGGUUAGGGGCCUUGUGGGUCAGUCAUGCAAGCAAUGCUUUCAGGGACCCCUCUCACGACUGCCCUUUUCUUCCUCUCUUUCGGCUCUUGCAGCUGCGAGGAGGGGGACGAGAAGCGGCCCCACGGGGACGAGGCAGCCCUGGCCGCGGGGCAGGUGGCAGACGGAGACAUGCAGGCCAGCCAGGCCGCCUACAACUACAGCGCGUGGUACCAGUACAACUACCCAAAUGCUUGGAAUUACGGACAAUAUUACCAGGCCUCCUCCACCUGAUCGGAAGAAGCGUGGGGCCGGAGGCAAGGAGUGUGAAGGGUUUUGUUAUUUUUUUAGAACAACGAACGAAUGGGGGAUGAUGGAUGUGAACCCGCCCUUUCUGUGGCCCCCGUGUCUCUCUGCAUGUGCAUUGAGGGGCUGCCCACGGGGGUCUCCUUGUGACAGACUCGCGAUGUGCUCAUUGGUAUGUUGCUGUGCCCCUCGUUUGCCAGGAAUUCGGCUCCCUCCCAAAUUACCCAGAAAUGAAAUGGACUCAUGAAUUCUUAGUUCUCGCUCAGGGCGACAUGAAGCCCCCUAAGCCCCUGAUCUCGGCCCCUCUUCCGCUCUGAAGGAAACGUCCUCCGCACUUCAAGCGAAGGCAGCCAGCCCUGAAAGAUGUGAGCUCCUCUCCUUCCCUUGAACAACGACAUGAAGCGUGUUGCUAGAACCAUGCUGUGUUUGGGGUGGAGAUUUUGUAUUGGGUUUUUUCAUGUGUACGUUCAGACAUUUUUCUGUUCAGAUGCCUUUCUUUUUUGUAAUAAAAAUGAAAUUGUGUAAAAAAUGGGCCAGUUACUACUUCUUCCUGCUAGGGCUCCUCCAGAGUGGAUUCCAUCCGCUGUCCCUUGGGUUUGUUUCACAGCAGCGGCUGCUACUAUUUGAGCCAUUUUCCCAGCUU